ACGAACGCUGGCGGCGUGCUUAACACAUGCAAGUCGAACGGAAAGGCCCUGCUUUUGUGGGGUGCUCGAGUGGCGAACGGGUGAGUAACACGUGAGUAACCUGCCCUUGACUUUGGGAUAACUUCAGGAAACUGGGGCUAAUACCGGAUAGGAGCUCCUGCUGCAUGGUGGGGGUUGGAAAGUUUCGGCGGUUGGGGAUGGACUCGCGGCUUAUCAGCUUGUUGGUGGGGUAGUGGCUUACCAUGGCUUUGACGGGUAGCCGGCCUGAGAGGGUGACCGGCCACAUUGGGACUGAGAUACGGCCCAGACUCCUACGGGAGGCAGCAGUGGGGAAUAUUGCACAAUGGGCGGAAGCCUGAUGCAGCAACGCCGCGUGCGGGAUGACGGCCUUCGGGUUGUAAACCGCUUUCGCCUGUGACGAAGCGUGAGUGACGGUAAUGGGUAAAGAAGCACCGGCUAACUACGUG
rnacentral:rRNA from 1 species